UAAUGUAUGGGGAUCUGCCUGAUGGCGGGGGAUAACUACUGGAAACGGUAGCUAAUACCGCAUAAUGUCUGCGGACCAAAGCGGGGGACCUCCGGGCCUCGCGCCAUCAGAUGAACCCAUAUGGGAUUAGCUAGUUGGUGAGGUAACGGCUCACCAAGGCCACGAUGCAUAGCCGACCUGAGAGGGUGAUCAGCCACACUGGGACUGAGACACGGCCCAG
rnacentral:rRNA from 1 species